UACGAAGGGGGCUAGCGUUGCUCGGAAUUACUGGGCGUAAAGGGCGCGUAGGCGGACAUUUAAGUCAGGGGUGAAAUCCCAGAGCUCAACUCUGGAACUGCCUUUGAUACUGGGUGUCUUGAGUGUGAGAGAGGUAUGUGGAACUCCGAGUGUAGAGGUGAAAUUCGUAGAUAUUCGGAAGAACACCAGUGGCGAAGGCGGCUCACUGGCCCGAUACUGACGCUGAGGCACGAAAGCGUGGGGAGCAAACAGG
rnacentral:rRNA from 1 species